CACCACAACAUGAAAUGCUUUUUUUCCCCCCUCAACAUGCACAGGUUGACAGAAAAAAAAGGAAUGUGCAAUGGAGAUUGUUAAUACGGACAUAUCCUAAGACAACUGUUGGGAAAAUAAAUGCACAUCACUUUGACAUGAAGGACAAUUAACAGUGCCAUGUAUUACUGAGGACAGGUGUUUUAUCCUGUUCAUCACCAGAAGUAAUCCUUUGAACAAGAAACUCUUCCCAAGACCUUGAAGAUCAGAUGUGAUUCAGUAAGGUAGAGAGGCGGGCGUGGAGAGAAUCAAACAGCCCAUUUUGAGACCAUGAAAAGACUCUGGAAAUACAAUUCCAGUGAGUCCUGCCUAUAACACUUUUGAUGCCCAGAUCACUAGCAGCAGUACUACAAGAACCAACGGGUGGAUGCUGUGGGGGGGUCCAGGCAGCUCUGUGGAACAGUCUCCAAUGGGCUAGUAGGAUGAGAAGGUCCAGGGGUAGUUUGGGAAACGAGGAGAAACAUCACCUCCCAAGACGGUAAACCUACUGAAAAGACGAUUCAAGCUCCAGAAGGAC
rnacentral:lncRNA from 1 species